GAUGAACGCUGGCGGCGUGCCUAAUACAUGCAAGUCGAGCGAACGGACGAGAAGCUUGCUCUUCUGAUGUUAGCGGCGGACGGGUGAGUAACACGUGGAUAACCUACCUAUAAGACUGGGUUAACUUCGGGAAACCGGAGCUAAUACCGGAUGAUAUUUUGAACCGCAUGGUUCAAAAGUGAAAGACGGUCUUGCUGUCACUUAUAGAUGGAUCCGCGCUGCAUUAGCUAGUUGGUAAGGUAACGGCUUACCAAGGCAACGAUGCAUAGCCGACCUGAGAGGGUGAUCGGCCACACUGGAACUGAGACACGGUCCAGACUCCUACGGGAGGCAGCAGUAGGGAAUCUUCCGCAAUGGGCGAAAGCCUGACGGAGCAACGCCGCGUGAGUGAUGAAGGUCUUCGGAUCGUAAAACUCUGUUAUUAGGGAAGAACAUAUGUGUAAGUAACUGUGCACAUCUUGACGGUACCUAAUCAGAAAGCCACGGCUAACUACGUG
rnacentral:rRNA from 1 species